GGGGGAGGGAGGAGGAGGAAGCGCGCCUCGGCCGGCCGCCGCAGUUGGAGUCGGAGCAGGGGGGAGCAGUUUCAAAAAAUUAUUAAAAAUCGAGGGAAAAUCCUAGAAACGCUCUGUGGGCCUGAAAACCCCAGAGAGGUCCCAGGCUCCCUGGAAAAGAGGUUUCGGGUGUCCGUAAGUGAGAACUGUGCUGUUGCAUCCUCAGGCAAAUGAUUUCUUCUGUAAAUGUCUUCUUGACAUGUUUAUGAAGAGACAUCCUCAGAGCCAAACUGCCUUCAUUUUCAUCAGAUCUGUUUGCAAGAGAUAGUCAUAGCUGACCAUGUUAACUGUGACCUACUUUUAUAUAAGGGGCACAGUGCAUCAUGGGACCUUCACAUGAGUAUCCAGGCAGCCCUCCAAGCCAUCUGUAUGAAAAUCUAAUUGUACAAAGCCUCAAGGAGUCUGUGAUGGCUAAUCUUGGUUGUCAACUUGAAGACAUCUAGAAUCAACUGAAUCCCAAGCAGCUAGGUGUUGAGAAAUUUUCAUGAUCGAAUCAUCUGAGGUCAGAAGACUCACUCUAAAGCUGGGCUACACCUUUUGAUGGCAUCCCGCAUAAAAGCACAUGGAAUAAGGAAAGCUUUGAUUUUUGCCUGCUUGUCCUCACUCUUACUGGCAAGUUCAUCUAGUCUGCUGCUGUGGCAUUCUUUCACUGGUGUUAGAACCUACUUCUUCAUGACUGAAGACUAGCUAAGGUAUCCAGCCAUGUGGACUGAAUAACUACUAAAUUUAUGGCCUUUUUUUUUUUUUGGAGCAAGAGAUAUUCAUUGUUGGACUAGACAGACAACAGCCUGUUAGCCACUCUAAUAAAUUACCUUUAGUAUAAUAUUCUUUCUAUCAGUUCUGUUUCUUUAGAGAUCCCUGAUUAAUACAGAGAGGCUGGAGUAUAUAGAUGAGAAAAGGACUAGGGCAGGAAGCUCCAUCUAUGUAGCCUCAGGGAAGUUAUCAGCCAUACUGGGUACAGAUCAUUCAGUGUGGCUUAAGGCUACCCAUAUGACUACCUGUAACACCUCACCCAUUGCUAUGUAAUAAGCCUAAUAAAGUCGUUGGUUUCCAGGAUGAA
rnacentral:lncRNA from 1 species